rnacentral:lncRNA from 1 species
UAACCACCCUGCACGAACUCAUUAUGUGGACUGGUAAAGAAAACGGAUUAAACUCCCUUAAAUUAUCUCACAUUUGCCACGGACCACCAGUUACCAUGGAUCAGCUGACAUGCAGCAACUUCUUAACCCGCGGUGAGUUGUUCGUACAGCGAAUCCCCUCAGUGGAGAGAAGCAGAUACACRGGGCAAUGUGCUGAGUAGCUAAUCCUCUGUAACUUUAUGCAGGAGUUUACUAGGCACUAAUUUCCCCUGCUGGCCAGAUCUUAAGUGGUUUACGUAAAAAUCAGGAAGGAAAUCUCUGGCAGAACUCUGAGCAAGGCUCAAGUGUCCUUUCAGCCUUGAAAUCAGAAGCUGUGAUUUAAAAGCAAAACCAAACUAUGAGGAGGAGAUAAACUUUGUUCUCGUUGAAGGACUGUGCAACUGCAGAGUGUUUCCAGGCCUCAGGACAGCCAGCCCACGUGGAGCGUAUAGAUURAACUGGGGAAUUAGUGCGGUGAAAGCAGAAGCAAUGGUCAAUGUUGAAGAUGGAGGAGGUUUUGGAUUCUAAGGGAAAAUGUGCAGUUAUUUCCAGAAAUACUCAAGGGGGUCGCUGCUCGGCAUGUGGACAAGAAGAAAUCUCCUGCAUGUGUCAGCAAGACUCAUAAGCAGAAAGCUAGGUAACAUAGCUGGGCCCUGCUCCAUGACUGUUGUCUUGGACAUGACUGCAUUACAUCCAGAAAAUCAUUACAACCAGAAAAUCAGCUCUCAGWGCAUGCAAGUUUCUGUUCCCUGUUUGAAAGACAGCUGA